UGAAGAGCUGCAGGUAAAGGCCUGCAGUCUAAGGAGCAAAUUAUGUUUGUUUUCCAAGUGCCAUGAAGUGCUGCCCCAGAAGUACCACUGCAAGGCAAAGUAUGUGGGGCUGGUGUGCCCUUUCUCUGCUAUAUGUGUGAUUGGACUUGGAAAUGGCUUUUAAUUGCAAUGUUUCAUAUCAAGCUUGUGGGGAGAGUCUUGCUGAGGCUGACACAACUCCCAGUUUGACUGAGUUAACUGGCUAAUUGGAGAGACAUGGGAAGAUGUACAUCGAAAGAGAGUAAGAGGCUUCUGAAACAGGAGGUGGAGAAAGCGAACUCCAUUCAAAAUCCAUUACCAGGAGCUUCAGCCAGCCUCAAGCAGUCAUCUGUAAUGCAGCUAAACCAAGCCUGACCUUGGAAGAUCAAAAAAGAAGAGGCUGCAUGUCAAGAGAAGAGAGAAGAGGUGGCGUGUGUAACGGCGAGUUCCUGUCCUUCACCUCUUGGGGAGUUUACUUACUGGAUGCACUUCCUGGCCUUGUGUUUGACGCAGCAAAAGAAGAUGUGGCACUGCGGACGAGCAUACUGAGGAAGCUGCUUCUGCAGGUGGAUGUAGCUGACUCAAGGGGAAAGCUGAGCAACCUUGGAUACUGAGCUCUAAUUGGUGAGUCUAGAGGUUACUACUGUUUACAAAGCUAAUGUUUAUAACUUGUUUGUUCUUGUAUUUGUAAAAUUGCAUUUGUGUAUUUUGUAAUACUGUAUUUGU